GUCCUCAAACAUUCUGGUAUUUCGC
rnacentral:miRNA from 1 species